UACGUAGGGGGCAAGCGUUGUCCGGAAUUAUUGGGCGUAAAGCGCGCGCAGGCGGUCUUUUAAGUCUGAUGUGAAAGCCCACGGCUUAACCGUGGAGGGUCAUUGGAAACUGGAGGACUUGAGUACAGAAGAGGAGAGUGGAAUUCCACGUGUAGCGGUGAAAUGCGUAGAGAUGUGGAGGAACACCAGUGGCGAAGGCGACUCUCUGGUCUGUAACUGACGCUGAGGUGCGAAAGCGUGGGUAGCGAACAGGAUUAGAUACCCCCGUAGUCCCU
rnacentral:rRNA from 1 species